rnacentral:rRNA from 1 species
GCCCUCUGGUUGAUCCUGGCGGCAGGCCUAACACAUGCAAGUCGAGCGGUAACAUUUCUAGCUUGCUAGAAGAUGACGAGCGGCGGACGGGUGAGUAAUACUUGGGGAUCUGCCUGAUGGCGGGGGACAACCACUGGAAACGGUGGCUAAUACCGCAUACGCCCUACGGGGGAAAGCAGGGGCUCUUCGGACCUUGCGCUAUCGGAUGAGCCCAUGUCGGAUUAGCUUGUUGGUGAGGUAAUGGCUCACCAAGGCGACGAUCCGUAGCUGGUCUGAGAGGAUGAUCAGCCACAUCGGGACUGAGACACGGCCCGAACUCCUACGGGAGGCAGCAGUGGGGAAUAUUGGACAAUGGGCGCAAGCCUGAUCCAGCCAUGCCGCGUGUGUGAAGAAGGCCUUCGGGUUGUAAAGCACUUUCAGUGGUGAGGA